CCUACGGGGGGCAGCAGUCGAGAAUCAUUCACAAUGGGGGCAACCCUGAUGGUGCGACGCCGCGUGGAGGACGAAGGCCCUAGGGUCGUAAACUCCUGUCAUCAGAGAGUAAGGACUUCACUAGGUAAUGAGUGGGGUAUUGAUAGUAUCUGAAGAGGAAGGGACGGCUAACUUCGUGCCAGCAGCCGCGGUAACACGAAGGUCCCGAGCGUUGUUCGGAAUUACUGGGCGUAAAGAGUCUGUAGGCGGUUAGGUAAGUCAGAUGUGAAAUCCCGGUGCUCAACACCGGAACUGCAUCCGAUACUGCUUAACUAGAGUGUUGGAGGGGAAACUGGAAUUCUCGGUGUAGCAGUGAAAUGCGUAGAUAUCGAGAGGAACACUAGUGGCGAAGGCGAGUUUCUGGACAACUACUGACGCUGAGAGACGAAGGCCAGGGUAGCGAAAAGGAUUAGAUACCCUUGUAGUCCUGGCAGUAAACGGUGCACGCUUGGUGUAGGAGGAUUCGACCCCUUCUGUGCCGGAGCUAACGCGUUAAGCGUGCCGCCUGGGGAGUACGGUCGCAAGAUUAAAACUCAAAGAAAUUGACGGGGACCCGCACAAGCGGUGGAGCAUGUGGCUUAAUUCGAUGCAACGCGAAGAACCUUACCUGGGCUUGACAUGUCAGUCGUAGAAAUGUGAAAGCAUAUCGUCACUUCGGGUGGACUGUCACAGGUGCUGCAUGGCUGUCGUCAGCUCGUGUCGUGAGAUGUUGGGUUAAGUCCCGCAACGAGCGCAACCCCUAUGGUCUGUUGCCAGCACGUAAUGGUGGGGACUCUGACCAGACUGCCCAGCUUAACUGGGAGGAAGGUGGGGAUGACGUCAAGUCAGUAUGGCCCUUACGCCCAGGGCUGCACACGUGCUACAAUGUCCAGUACAAUGUGAACCGAGACCGCGAGGUGGAGGAAAUCCUAUAAAACUGGGCUCAGUUCGGAUUGUAGUCUGCAACUCGACUACAUGAAGUUGGAAUCGCUAGUAAUGGCUCAUCAGCUACGGAGCCGUGAAUACGUUCCCGGGUCUUGUACACACCGCCCGUC
rnacentral:rRNA from 1 species